UACGUAGGUGACAAGCGUUAUCCGGAUUUAUUGGGCGUAAAGCGCACGCAGGCGGUCUAUCAAGUCUGACGUGAAAUCUCUCGGCUUAACCGGGAGCGGUCGUUGGAAACUGAUGGACUUGAGGCGAUGAGAGGGUAGUGGAAUUCCCGGUGUAGUGGUGAAAUGCGUAGAUAUCGGGAAGAACACCUAUGGCGAAGGCAGCACUCUGGGACGGUACUGACGCUGAGACGCGAAAGCGUGGGGGAGCGAACAGG
rnacentral:rRNA from 1 species